rnacentral:lncRNA from 1 species
UAUAUUUACAAAUUCAUCACACAUUUAUGAUUUUAUAUGGGAAUCAAAAAGCUUUCAUGAAUGUUCACCAUGUGCUGAUGUGCUCAGUGCUGUCAACAGACCCCAUUAUGACAUCACAAUGUAACGGAAUCCUUGCCAUGAUAUCAUUGCUGGUUCCAUCUGACAAGCAACAUUUACAUUUACAUUUACAUUUAAGUCAUUUACCAUUUCAUGAUAGUUCUCUCACAGAGAUAGGUUAAGUUCUUAUUUUGAGAGUGUUAACAUUUAUUAUCAAUGGCUUAUCGAGGAAGAAAAUCAAGUGAGUUUGACAAACUCCAGAAGGAGAACUCUCAGAUGAGGAGCGUCAUCGAAAACUUGAGGAAGCAAAACAUGGCUUUAAACCAACAGGAUGACCAGGACAGGUUUUCAAGUUUUGGCUAUCAGGAGAGCUACCCAAUCCCAGAGGGCCAUCGGGGCUUCAUCAGUGAUGCCAGACUUCUGCAGAUGCAGAGAGCUGAGAGAGAGGCCAUGGAAGGAAAGCAAAGAAAGAUAAGUGCUAUCCAUGAGAAUUAUGUCCGGACUGCUCUCAUCGGGGUUGGCAGCACCUUCGCGCACCACUUCGUCCCCUCUAUUCAGUGCAUUCCGCGGCCGAAAGCUCCACCGAGGCCUUUGCCACGAAGGCUUGAACACAUAGCUCUGGCCCCACUGAAGAACGUGGUGGGGGUGGACGGAGCCCAAGUUCGACCCGGAUCUCACUCUCUGGAGUCCAUCCAGGUAAAUAAGUCAUUCAGCAGCAGUAGCGUGCGGCCUGUUCCCGUCCCUCCCACUGGAGCUCCCUCCAAGAGGGGCAAGAAGAAGAAGGGCAGGCGGGGAGUCAAAGCCCUGAAAGUCCAGUUGGACCAGGGCUGUGCUGACAACAACGGACCCAUUGACCUGAUGGAGGAGGUGAGGGACAUCGAGGCUCACCUGAAGGAGGAGGCCUGGAAGGUGGUACAUGAGGUGAAGGCCAUGGGCAGGAGAAGUUUUGGCUCGGCCAUGUCCAUGGGGGAAAUAGCCACCAGCUCUCUGGGAAGCCUGAGCUCAGUGGAUAUGAACACCCCUGCGGAGCUCCGUGACUACUUGGAUGUUGGGACCCCGGUAAAGUCGCGUGACAGCCCACCCAGGCCUGCUCCCCCCCCUACCAAGCCCAGGAGCAAACUGCCUCGGCCUACAAGGUUCCUUAGCCUGCAAAAGGCUGACACCGGCUCAGACAAGAAGGCAGCCAGUGAGCCAAAGGGCCAAAUAAAG